CAGCAACUCUUGCCUCUUCUGACGCACUGAACAAAGCAACGUUGCAGGAUCUCUGUGGACGGACAGGUGGAUUGUGUGGCCCUGUGGCUCUGGCAUUUGUUCUCCGGGUCGUACUCGAAGAUCCAUGAUCCAUCAUAGACCAACUGGGACAAGAUCUGAGGUGGACAACUUCCCCGUUGCAAUGGAGGAUUCUGCUCCGACCGACCGGGCCAGUUCCUGAGGCAGAACCACCCAAGACGUCUACUCUGCGGCCCCGUUUCUAUUUAAAUUGACUCUUAUGCCAUCUUAAUGAAAAUUGUACAGCAUCUUGCCAUUGUAAUUAACAUUGUACAGCACCAGACUAUGUGAUAAAUGUGGCCCACUCGACAGCCGUUGCAGCCUGGUCGUCCUGGAAGGGGGAUCCCCUCAUCUGCGGUCCCUUCUUAAGCUUUCUUCUUUCCCCAAAUGGGAUUUGAAUUUUUUCUUGUCCGAUUGGGCGGUUUAGAUUAGGGGAUGUUGUCAAUCAUUGCCAACUGUGGGCCUAUGAAACCUUUUGAGAGUCUUUUGUAAU